rnacentral:rRNA from 1 species
UACAGAGGUCCCAAGCGUUGUUCGGAUUCACUGGGCGUAAAGGGUGCGUAGGUGGCGAGGUAAGUCGGAUGUGAAAGCUGGAGCUCAACUCCGAAAUGGCAUUGGAAACUACCUUGCUCGAGGGUUGGAGGGGGGACUGGAAUUCUCGGUGUAGCAGUGAAAUGCGUAGAUAUCGAGAGGAACACCAGUGGCGAAGGCGGCCAUCUGGGACAACACUGACGCUGAGGCACGAAAGCGUGGGGAGCAAACAGG